rnacentral:rRNA from 1 species
UCGAGCGGAGAUGAGGUGCUUGCACCUUAUCUUAGCGGCGGACGGGUGAGUAAUGCUUAGGAAUCUGCCAUUUAGUGGGGGACAACAUUCCGAAAGGAAUGCUAAUACCGCAUACGUCCUACGGGAGAAAGCAGGGGAUCUUCGGACCUUGCGCUAAAUGAUGAGCCUAAGUCGGAUUAGCUAGUUGGUGGGGUAAAGGCCUACCAAGGCGACGAUCUGUAGCGGGUCUGAGAGGAUGAUCCGCCACACUGAGACUGACACACGGCCCAGACUCCUACGGGAGGCAGCAGUGGGGAAUAUUGGACAAUGGGCGGAAGCCUGAUCCAGCCAUGCCGCGUGUGUGAAGAAAGCCUUUUGGUUGUAAAACACUUUAAGCGAGGAAGACGCUACUUGUACUAAUACUACCGGGGAGUGAACAUGUCUCGAAAAUAAGCCCUGCGCUAAAUCUGUGCCAGCAGCCGCGGUAAUACAGAGGGUGCGAGCGUUAAUCGGAUUUACUGGGCGUAAAGCGUGCGUAGGCGGCUUUUUAAGUCGGAUGUGAAAUCCCCGAGCUUAACUUGGGAAUUGCAUUCGAUACUGGGGAAGCUAGAGUAUGGGAGAGGAUGGUAGAAUUCCAGGUGUAGCGGUGAAAUGCGUAGAGAUCUGGAGGAAUACCGAUGGCGAAGGCAGCCAUCUGGCCUAAUACUGACGCUGAGGUACGAAAGCAUGGGGAGCAAACAGGAUUAGAUACCCUGGUAGUCCAUGCCGUAAACGAUGUCUACUAGCCGUUGGGGCCUUUGAGGCUUUAGUGGCGCAGCUAACGCGAUAAGUAGACCGCUGGGGAGUACGGUCGCAAGACUAAAACUCAAAUGAAUUGACGGGGGCCCGCACAAGCGGUGGAGCAUGUGGUUUAAUUCGAUGCAACGCGAAGAACCUUACCUGGCCUUGACAUACUAGAAACUUUCCAGAGAUGGAUUGGUGCCUUCGGGAAUCUAGAUACAGGUGCUGCAUGGCUGUCGUCAGCUCGUGUCGUGAGAUGUUGGGUUAAGUCCCGCAACGAGCGCAACC